GACGAACGCUGGCGGCGUGCUUAACACAUGCAAGUCGAGCGGUAAGGCCCUUUCGGGGGUACACGAGCGGCGAACGGGUGAGUAACACGUGGGUGACCUGCCCUCAGCUCUGGGAUAAGCCUGGGAAACCGGGUCUAAUACCGGAUAUGACUCCAUGACGCAUGUUGUGGGGUGGAAAGCCUUGUGCGGCUGAGGAUGGGCCCGCGGCCUAUCAGCUUGUUGGUGGGGUGAUGGCCACCAAGGCGACGACGGGUAGCCGGCCUGAGAGGGCGACCGGCCACACUGGGACUGAGACACGGCCCAGACUCCUACGGGAGGCAGCAGUGGGGAAUCUUGCGCAAUGGGCGAAAGCCUGACGCAGCGACGCCGCGUGAGGGAUGACGGCCU
rnacentral:rRNA from 1 species